UCCAUGGAACACAUACUAAAAAUCACCACAUUUCCAGAGGGAGAAGUAGGAGAUAAAUGGAGUAAGGCUGCCCAUACUCUUCAAGGAACUGGAAUCUAACAGAUUGCCGUUUCGACAGCAGAGUACAAGUCUUCAGAGAAGAUGGAAAGUUGCUCCCUCAAUAAAGUGUAGGUCUGGAAUGGAAAUAAUACUUUUGGAGAAAGCGUUCGGUGUAUGAAGGACAGAGAAUAGGAAACUUUUCUCACCCAGCUGUGAGCAGGAAGUGGCUUUCCACAGAUCUCUCUGCAGAGGAAAAUCCCUCUUGGAGCACCUUGAUCCCUUGGAGCGUCAUGGAACCCGGACGGGGUGGAGGUGAGCUGGUUAAGUUUGUGAAACCUGCCCGGGGGCCACUCCACCUCGCCCUGGCUAGAGAUGCUUUAGAGGCUGGUGCGAGCAGCAGUUGCUGUUUGAGACAGGGGCCGAGUGCUGGGGUGGCCAUUCCAGAAUGUAGCCCCUCAGAAGCGUGCUGCCCAGCCUUGUAAGAAGGGUAAAACAAAUA